rnacentral:rRNA from 1 species
CUACGGGUUGCUCCAGUGAGGAAUAUUGCACAAUGGGGGGAACCCUGAUGCAGCAACGCCGCGUGGAGGAUGACGCAUUUCGGUGUGUAAACUCCUUUUAUAUGUCAAGAAAAUGACGGUAGCAUAUGAAUAAGCGCCGGCUAACUCCGUGCCAGCAGCCGCGGUAAUACGGAGGGCGCAAGCGUUACUCGGAAUCACUGGGCGUAAAGGACGCGUAGGCGGGUUGAAAAGUCAGGUGUGAAGGCCUACAGCUUAACUGUAGAACUGCACUUGAAACUCUCAACCUAGAGUAUGGGAGGGGCGGAUGGAAUUAGUGGUGUAGGGGUAAAAUCCGUAGAUAUCACUAGGAAUACCUAAAGCGAAGGCGAUCUGCUGGAACAUUACUGACGCUAAGGCGUGAAAGCGUGGGGAGCAAACAGGAUUAGAUACCCGAGUAGUC